AUGCACGCUGGCGGCGUGCCUAAUACAUGCAAGUCGAGCGAACGGACGAGAAGCUUGCUUCUCUGAUGUUAGCGGCGGACGGGUGAGUAACACGUGGAUAACUUACCUAUAAGACUGGGAUAACUUCGGGAAACCGGAGCUAAUACCGGAUAAUAUUUUGAACCGCAUGGUUCAAAAGUGAAAGACGGUCUUGCUGUCACUUAUAGAUGGAUCCGCGCUGCAUUAGCUAGUUGGUAAGGUAACGGCUUACCAAGGCAACGAUGCAUAGCCGACCUGAGAGGGUGAUCGGCCACACUGGAACUGAGACACGGUCCAGACGCCUACGGGAGGCAGCAGUAGGGAAUCUUCCGCAAUGGGCGAAAGCCUGACGGAGCAACGCCGCGUGAGUGAUGAAGGUCUUCGGAUCGUAAAACUCUGUUAUUAGGGAAGAACAUAUGUGUAAGUAACUGUGCACAUCUUGACGGUACCUAAUCAGAAAGCCACGGCUAACUACGUG
rnacentral:rRNA from 1 species